rnacentral:lncRNA from 1 species
AGCCCUGCUCGCCCUGAGGUUAUCAAUGACUGGCGCCGAGAAGAUAGAUUUGGUAAUGGGAGGAAACCUGAUGAUAAUAGAGUAUCUGAUGGAGAUCCCAAGUUAGAAGGGAGAUCACCUGAGCGGCCAAAAGAGUCAUCCAGUCCUCCAGUGGUUCGUCCUGUUAGAGAAAUUUUGGGUGAGAAUGUAAUACCCCUUCGUGUAAGUGAACCUCCAAAAGCAAAUAGCGACAGAACUGUCGAUGGCCCUCAGACGCAGGUAGUUUCUACUAUGUGCUAGGAAACACUAUUCUAAUGUUCUGGUCUAAUUCACGAAUCUUUUUUUUUUCUUUUGAUCUGAUCCCGCAAAAAGAUAGGCUUUUCCUCUUACUUAACAUCGAAAUGAUUUAUUUAUGUCUUACCGUUAUGCCUUUCUGAAAUUCUUUCAAAAGCCUUAGUGUUAACAUGAUACCUUUUGCCACAAUUAACCACUUGGCACGGUUCUCAUUCCUUUUGAAUUUGCUUUUUCUCCUUUCUUUUGGUGAUCUAUUCAGAGUAUUUAUCCUACUUUUAAUUGGACCUUAUAAUUCCCAUCUAUACGAUAGUAGUUGAAAACCUUUUAUUAGAACUACUUGGUAGCUUGUGCUGGACAUGAUUCUAUGCCAGCUAUAGUGAUUGAUAUUCCAUGCUGCCAAUGAUGAUAAUUUUCUGAGUUAUAAUGACUUGAUUAUGAUUCCAUGGUACUCUGCUGCUUCAACACUUUUGCGAUGUUUGUUGUAUGAUUAUUUAUACCUUGAAGUUACAUAAAGGAAAUGAACUUACUGAAGGAUUUCUACUAGCAGAGAACCGCGUCUUCUAGCAGCUUAGGACAUUCCAGCGGUAAUCCAGUAGAAGCCAAGUUGGAGACAACUGGUAGCUUAAUUGAUUUUGAUGCUGAUCCUGAACCUCCAGUAGCUCCUAUGGUUACUCAGACACAACAAACUACCGCGACUCAAUCCAUUGUGCAGCCAACUUCUUCUACCAACGAGAACUGGGCCUCUUUC